UACAGAGGUCCCAAGCGUUGUUCGGAUUCACUGGGCGUAAAGGGUGCGUAGGUGGUUGCGCAAGUCUGAUGUGAAAUCUCCGGGCUCAACCCGGAAAUGGCAUUGGGAACUGCGUGGCUAGAGGGUUGGAGGGGGGACUGGAAUACUUGGUGUAGCAGUGAAAUGCGUAGAUAUCAAGUGGAACACCAGUGGCGAAGGCGAGUCCCUGGACAACACCUGACACUGAGGCACGAAAGCUAGGGGAGCAAACAGG
rnacentral:rRNA from 1 species